UACAGAGGGUGCAAACGUUGUUCGGAAUUACUGGGCGUAAAGCGUGCGCAGGCGGUUCGUUGUGUCGGUGGUGAAAGCCCCGGGCUUAACCUGGGAAUGGCCAUGGAAACUGGCGAACUGGAGUGUGGCAGAGGGGGGUGGAAUUCCGCGUGUAGCAGUGAAAUGCGUAGAGAUGCGGAGGAACACCGAUGGCGAAGGCAGCCCCCUGGGCUAGCACUGACGCCUCAGGCACGAAAGCGUGGGGAGCAAACAGG
rnacentral:rRNA from 1 species